rnacentral:lncRNA from 1 species
CUCUCAUCGAACUCUUCACCUGCCGUCUUCAAACAUUGCUUUUUGCUUUAUAGCAAUGUAGUUACCAAACAUAUUUUUUACUUUGUUACUUUUACUCAAUAGCAAAUAUAAAAAAAAUAAAAAAUAUUUUUUAAAAAUCAAAAAUUAAAAAUCAAAAAGUGUAACCAAUCAGCACCCUAAGCAAGUUUACAUGUUAUUCAGCUUUCUAGUCAUUUCAUGAAUUACUUCUUUCAUACUUGUGGGAAAGCCAAACUAUCCAGCCUCUACUGCCAUCUUGUACUGAAAUUCUAAUUCUAUCAUGGGGAGAACUUGCACCUC